UGUAAUCCCAGCAGUUUGGGAGGUCAACAUGGGUGAAUCACUUGAGGUCAGAAGUUUGGGACCAGCCCAGCCAAUGUGGCCCUGAUCAGGAAGUGAAGACAACAUGACUGUGGAGAAGAGAGCCGGGAAGGGAAGAAGCUCAAUAAUGAGUGCAUUCUAGGCCAGCUUCCCCAGUGAGAGCAUCAAGGUUGAUGGAAGAACAUGAGGGGAAGUGGCAUGAGAGCAAGCCCGUGCUCUCCUCUACAGAGACAGAAGCCAGACAUGCCUUUUCCAUGUGCUGAUCUCCAAGUCCCAGCUAGUAGGUCACAUGACAUCACAGUCCUGCUCUUCCUCAAUGGUGAGCCUGCUGGAGCCUACCUUGCCUGAAUGCACUAAGAGCCAAGGUGUCUGGGAGUUUAUAUCCUCCAGGGACAGCCCUUAACAAGCCACCUCCCUCUGAGCUGGGUCUGCAUUGUUUCCAGAGCUCCCUGGGGGAUUCAGCCAAAGUCAUUUUUGGUGUAACUUUCUUAAUAUCUUUGAUUCCCUUCCUUCUGGCUUCCCUUUCUCUGGCUUUUCCUGGGAUCACCUCCCAAUAAAU
rnacentral:lncRNA from 1 species